CAGCCAAAAAUAAAUAGAUAGACAAAUUAAUUUUUUUAAAAAAAAAGGUCCUUCAGAAGACAAGUGUUUCAGUGAGGCAUGUGUGGUGGGUAGAAUAAUGGCCCCCCCAAAGGUGUCCACCUUCUAACCCCUGGAACCUAUAAAUAUGUUACCUUACAAUAGCAUAAUGGACUGUGCAGAUGUGAUAGAUGUGAUUAAGUUAAGAAUCUUGAGGUGAGAAGAUUAUCCUGGAUCAUCUGGCUGGUCUCAAUCUAGUCUCAAAGACCCUUAUAAAAGGGAGGCAGAGGCAGAGUCAGAAAAGGACAUGUGAAAAAGAUGUGUCGGGGUGGGGGGGAGAAAAAAAAAAGAGAAGAUGUAUGAUGUGGUUAUUGGCUGAGGAGGGCCGUGAGUCGAGGCAUGAGGACAGCCUCUAAAAGCUGGACAAGGCAAGGAAAUGAUUCUUCCCUAGAGUCUCCUAGAAGAAUGGUGCCCUUUUGACACCUUGAUUUUAGCCCAGUGAUACCCUAUUUUGUGCUUCUGAUUUCCAGAGCUGUGAGAUAGAUAAGUUACAUUGUUUUACACCGCUAAGUUCGUGGUCAUUUGUUACAGCAGCAAUAGGAAACUAAUACAGCAAGACAGACUCGGGAGAGGCACAUAUGUAACAGCAGCUCAACCAUAGACAGCAACAUUCUCCUAGCAACAACAAGACAUCUCCUUAAAAGUAAACAUUCCUUCCUGAUGUGUAAAGGAUCACAAGACCCACGACAAUGGUGCUUAAAUCUGGAUUAGUGUGGAGUAGCCAGUGAGAUCUUAAUUCCCUGGCCUGGGAUAGAACCCAUGCCCCUCAAACCCAUGCCCCACCCCUCUCAGUGGAAGCACGGAGGGUUAACCACUGAACUGCCAGGGAAAUCCCACACUGUGUCUUGACUUCUAAGGGGUGGAAGUUCUCAGAGCUUUCUGAGAUGCUCUUCUGGGUUAAAAUCCUCGAAUUUACCUCAAAUAAAAUUUUGCAAUUCUUAGAUUGACGGAUAAAUUUUUCAUUGACACUUUUUUUGCUCAGCUAUCCUGUGAAAUUAAUCUACAUGAUUAGGUGUAUCCGUGGUUCAUUUCUUUCUGUUGCUGAGUGGAAUUCCAUCAUAUGGGUAUGCUGCAAUUUGUUUAUUCAUUUAUCCU